CACCACGGUCCGCAUGGUCAAGCACUGGCUCUGCCGAUAUCUGCCUGCUCUCCCUGGCCCGCCUCAGCUCCUCAUUCCUGGAGAUGUCUCUUCGCUUUGCCUGUCCCAGAAUGCCAUCCCCCAGGCCAGUGUCAGGAAGGUGGCAAGCCGUGACAUUCUAGCCAUGUAUGUGACCGUGGAUGGAACCCACCAGGAACCCGCCUUUCCGCUACAGAGCACUGAAACUGGGAACAGUUUGUUACACGGCAAGAACGCAUGUGUCCUGACCGACUUCUGUCCACACACAGCACCAAUUUCCUCAGUCGGAUUGUGGCCUUCAGUGUCAGAGCCACAGAGGGCCACCACCCAACGCCUGCCGACCUAAGCUGUCAUGAGAUGAGCAAGGUCCCCCAUCACAUCCUUCCACCAUGAUACUUCCUCACUACGGCCCCAAAGCCGUGAGCCAGCCCACCUCGUACUGAAGACCGACAGACGCUGUGAGCCGAAACCACCCAUCCUCCCUGGGAAGGGUCCUUCUCAGAUGUUGGUGAUGUCAGCAGCAAACUGGCUGAUGCAGAUUAUGCUCCUUUCCCACAAUCUUAUGCGAUCCCUCUUAGGACAUUCCUGAGCCCAGAUUCUACCCGUCUCUAGGUCCAGGAGAUGCUGGAGAAGUGAUGGGGGCCUGGCUAAUCAAAGCUCACCCUAUGGAUUCUGAGAGUCCAGGCCAGGAAGACCAGAUGGCUGGUAGAUCGUCAACUGGGCCUGCACAAAGGCUUCUGGGCUAUCACGUACAGCCCUGCCUCUGCUCUUGGGUCCUUGCCUCCAGCCACCAGAGGUCUUCAGAUCCUGUCAGCUCAGGUUGCAAUAGUGUCAGUUUCUCUUCUAAGUUGGCCGAGGCUGGCCCCAGGUGUCACCGCUAUACCUCCAAACCAAGGGCACAGUUUGGGAGAGCACAGCUGUAGUCUAUCCUGGGGACAUGCUGGGGGCUGGAGAAGAGAAGGGAGGCUGUUUGGGGCUGACGGCUGAAAAGAUGGCUGCUGCUGAGGGGAGCCCUGGCUCUGGUGGGCUGCUUUGAGGGCUGACUCUGUUUAUUUAAAUUAACUGAACCAUAAAUCAUGUCUGUCACAUCCCAGUCCCAUAAGUCCUAUAGACAUCUGCUGGCUUCUCUGGUAGAAUUGCUCUGGGCAUCGGAAGAUAGUCCCCACGCAGUUAGCUGGUACGACAACUUUACAUCACCUGUGUUUUUUAUUCUCAGAUCCCAGGUUUCUGUAAUGGCCCUGGGACAGUUUGGUGCCUCAGCAGUCAUGGGAGGAGGGCGAGAUCAAUAGCAGGAUGAAGGACCCUUUUAACACGCUGGAGAGAUGGCUCAGCGGUUAAGAGCACCGGCUGCUCUUCCAGGGGUCCUGAGUUCAAAUCCCAGCAACCACAUGGUGGCUCACAACCAUCUAUAAUGAGAUCUGAUGCCUUCUUCUGGUGUGUUUGAAGACAGUGAC